rnacentral:lncRNA from 1 species
AUAAGAGGGAAUGUGUGGGCUGAAGGCAGCAGUAGGGCGAUGGAAAGCCUGGCCAAGGGCUUCUAGAACUUGAAGCUCACCAUUUUUGGAUGACAUUCUGUGAACGAAGUGUUCUCUAUGAGAUACUAAGAGCAAUAUAGGGUAAUCACUGGUGACAGAAACAUCUGCUCAUGCAGGUUCAUGUCAAAGUCCAGGGUUGAAGGAGAACCCCUCAUCCCAGCUCUCUCCCUCUGUCAAGAUGCUUUUCCUUGGAAUCCAGCUGCCAUGUUGUGAGAAAGCCCAGGGCACCGCAGAGACCACAUGUGGGUGUUCCAGCCAACAGCCCCAGCUAGGUCCCCAUGGAGAGCCCACACCAACCACCAGAUAUGAGGGUUCAGACUCCAGCCCACAGUCUUCAAGUCUUCCAGCUGCAGUCCCAGACAUCAUGAAACCAUUCUGCUGUGACCUGUCAGAAUUUCUGACCCCAGAAACUGUUGGAGAUAAUAAAUAAUUACUGUUGUUU